AUUGGUUCCAUGGUGUUUUUAAAAUGAUGACGUCGUUCUCUUCAUUAUUGUCAUAGCUCUCAUAGUGACAAUUAAGACUCGCUUUUCCAAUGAAUUUCAACAGUAUAACAAUAGCAACAGAGAGCUCCGCCUCGGUUGGCUGCUCGAGUCGGAAUGUAUUAUGCGGUUUUGUUUCCUACCUAAGCUGAUAGCCUUGAGAGGCUAUGUCAGCGUAACCCUAACGUUAGGUGAGCUUUCGGGGCUCAAACAAGGAAGCGUUGCUAAGACUGACCUUAGCAAGAGCCGUGCUUCGCAGAAUCUACCACCGGAUCGGAAACGCGACCCACUGAGAAGAUCCGGCCAGAAACUUAGUGGGCUGUGUCUAUGGGUUAGUUUACGUCGAACGUGUUUAGGGGGAACACGACAGUUUACCAUUCGAUCCGCAGGAUCGAGUAUGUAAUUUCCCGCAGCCACGACAAGAGGUUUUCGUGUCGUGCCGCCUUCUCAAAGUUCCACACUGAUGCCGACUGAAUAUACUUACUGAUGGAGUCAAGCUUCAGGUCAUCAUGGAGAUCCACAUUUCUCAUGAACCACGGUGCGCCGACGGGUAUCCUACAAAAACGGGAUUGAAUGACUUGAAGCGGCUUCAAAUUAGUGCGGGCCGCGUGAGUGAACACUACACUGUCCGGUUAUGACCGGACUUAUGCAAGUUUUGUAGAGUGGCUCCUUGUUACGAAGGGACUUCGCUUGCAAAUCAUUGGAUAGAGGCGUCCUAGUAUAAAAGCGGCACGGUCAUGUAGCGUUUUUAGGUGGGGACGGAAUAUCAUCCAUCUGUCGAGGCUGACGCCUUGAUACUUGACCUUCGAGACCACCGGUAUGGGCUGGUCAAAAAGAGUGAUGGGGCGAUAGCGGAGAUAUUAACGCGCCUAUUAGGGAGUAGGGUUUUGUGUGACAAUAGUCACUCGUAUUUAUAGUAGAAAAAUGGCUGUAGCUUGGUCAUGAAUUUUCUUAAAUACCGUCUUAAGCACAUGUUUACACACGUUGGAAUUAUAACCACAAUUUUUUUGAUGUAUGUGAGAGGUGUGUGAUGUGUAUGAGAGGUACGUGAGACUCAACGACCUGCAGGUGUUGAGAGCACUAAUGUCAACAUUAAGGAAACUUUAACUAAUCAUUGUUAACUAAAUGGUAAUGUUGUGCCAACAUAUAUACAUCCUUAAGGAGAUGAAAACCAGAGACUUCUUUUAAUUCCUAGCCUUUUCCCGAGAUCCGCUUUCCUACUUAAACUAUGAAAACCAGACUAUUCGAUAAUGAUUUCGUGUUAUAAAAAACACGAUUAAAUUUGUAUUGGACCGUAAACGUGUCUUGUCGAUCUGUGUUUCUGUCUCAGUUUCACUUUAAUUAAAAUAUACGAGUAUAAUGAAAGUGUUGCUGAUUGUAUUGACUACGCACUAUGACGGUGAAAACGGCGCGAAAUAAGACAUUCUGUUUAUUUUAAUGUUGGUACUUUUAAAAAUGUUAAGGAAACUAGAUAUCAUUAGGUGGCUCUUUGGAGCAGUUUACCGUGGUCGGACGGAACAAAUAGGACAUAAUUCGAAUCUUCUUUGUCUCUACCUUAACACACCAGGUGGGGUCGGUACAGCAAUGUUUCUAUUCCAUUCUAUUCUAUCAGCCGUCAUAUCAACACUCGCUCCUCUCUUUCUCAUAUCGUCAUUCACAUACUGCAUCCAUGUCUUCUUUGGUCGACCUCUUCCCCCUCCACUUUAAACUUUUCCAUACAUCUCCUCUCUACGCAUUACAUGUCCAUACCACGUUAACCGUCCGCUCUUUAUUUACUAAUCACUGGACUACUUUCACACUGCCUCUAAUUCUAGAACAUAAUUCGAAUAAAAGUUCGAAAGGCAGACGUCCUAUCGCGAAUGUAGACUGCCUGAGCUGCGUUCUCUUUUUUCCUCUACCUAUGCUGAUAGCCUUGAGAGGCUAUUUCAGCUUCUCCUUGACGUGUAGGUAAGCUCACAUGGCUCAAACCGGAGUGUUGCUAACACUGGCCCUAGCAAGAGCAGUGCUUUGCAGAUUCUACAACCGGAUCAGAAAAGCGACCCACUGAGAAGAUCCGGCGAGAAAAUCAGUGAGCGUGUCUAUGGAAUGUUUUAUCUAUCAAUCGAUCAUACUUUUGUCACCACACUUAAUGUAUAGACAGGAACACGAACUCACUACCGCCCCUAACUGUUAGAUAUUAACGUUCGUGCAAUUCUUUUCAAUGGAAUGUUUUUUUAUUUAUUUUUCACAGCAAAAGUAUACAAAACCGUAUCGGUAAGCCGUAUAGCAUUUUUAUUACGUUUUUAUUAGCGAUCAAUUGUGAAUUUAUAAUUCAACAGCCGCCCAGUUCUGUAUUCGAUAUAAAUUUAGUAACACUUUCUCUGGAGGUUACAAAUGUACAUUGUCACGGUUAUAUUGGAUAGUUUUAUUGUCUAUACAAAAUUCGGAACGCCAUUGUUUCUGAUUGCGCAGUCUUAAAUCGGUUGAUUUGAGGAGAUUUUACUGUUGUUUUUUUUCGUUCCUCUUUUUAAUUGGGAAAUUUUACUUCUUUCUUUAUAAGGGCAACCCUUUGAUAUGUGAAGUAAGUUUACAGUGUACCUACGUUAAGAAAUCUGACAGCAAGAAGUUUGCAAUGUUCUGAGAAUUUUGUAACGAUACCCGUGUUUGUUUAUGCUUUGCAAGCAUGUAUUCCAUGUAUGCGUGUUUAGGACAUGUUUACGAUUGACAUCCACAAUGAAAGAAUAACAAUGUGUAAUUAAAAUUAAACCAGCAAAGAUUAGUUUAGGUAUUAACGGAUGGUAGGACGUUUUGUGAGUCCGCACGGGUAGAUACCACCAUCCCGCCUAUUUCUGCCGUGAAGCAGUAAUGCGUUUCGGUUUGAAGGACGGGGCAGCCGUUGUACUGUAAAACCGGAGACUUAGAACUCAUGUCUCAAGUUGGGUGGCGGCAUUUACGUUGUAGAUGUCUAUGGGGUCCGGUAACAACUUAACAUCAGGUGGCCCGUGAGCUCAUACAUCCAUCUAAGCAAUAAAAAAAACAUUGGGAGGGCAGUCUCAUCAGUAUAUUUAGGGCAAUUAAAAAACAAAAAACAGAAAUCGAUCUUGUAGAAAUUUGAAACCUUUUAAACAAUUCUGAUAAUUGUAUCUCAAGAUGAGUGGCGAAGCGGUAAUGUUAUUAGGCCCAUAUUGCCAGUUAUGACUUAUUUUUAAGUAGACCAUGAAUAUAAUCUACAGCAACAAAAAACUGAAGCAAGUCUAUAUUAACGAAGCAUACGUUUAAAGUAAUUCCUAAUCUGUAAUAUCUUUCAAAAACUCCAAAUUCCGCGUAAACAAAUAUUUGUAUCACCAGGAAAUUCUCCGAAAUAAAUAUUUUACAAAAAAAAUACAAGGAAUUCAUAACGACAAACCAGAAACAGGACGGAACGUAAAGUUUUAUCAUUGCAGGAUCUGCGGGCGUGGCCAUUAUUGUACAGGUAGAUCUUUUCGCCAUGCAGAAGAAGGCUACAGAGGUUUUCGGCCCAAAAACAAAAGAGAAGAAGGAAUAAAAAUAGCAGAAAUAAAACAAAAAUACUCCAUAACAGAGCCCUUAAUUUGUACAUUUUAUUUUUUAUGCUUAUGGACUUUUACAUACGUUCAAAACAAAUAUAAUACGAGAGCCGUUUGGAGCCAUGUUUUGGAUUUUACUGGUAUAGAAUUCGAGUUAUAUAAAUAACGUACAAUAACAAAUGACGAAGUCGACGUGGCCUAAAGGAUAAAACGCCUGUUGCAUUCAUAUCAAUGAGACUGUGCCGGUAUUCGAAUCUCGCAAACAGGUGCGAUUUUUUUAAAUUAAAUACGUACUUAUCAAAUGUUCAAGAAUAACUUCCUCUGUAAAGGAAUGAUACCAUGCUAUAAAAAACAAACCCGUAAAUGCAAUACUGAAAAUAAGACGAAGAAAUGUGAAAGUAAUGUUGUACGAGGAUGAACAGUCUUGAAAUUACAAACUCUGCUAUGAUGAGGAGGGGACGCUUAGGGACUUAUAUAGCAGAAAAUAUUAUAUAAUUGGUCAGCAUAGAUAAUAAACUUAAUUGUUGGUCAGCGAUAAAUAUUACUUAAUUUUAGAAGAAAAACGAAAAACAUAUCUAAAUAUCCAUAGGAUCACAGACCCCAUGACAAUAGACGUGUAAGUUGAUGGAAUUUACCCAUUCAAUAAAUAUGUAUAUAAUUGACAUUGUGAUCAUAUUUUUGUUAUAAUAAAAUAUACAUGCUUUUAUAAUUUAA